AUGACUUUGAUCUGCGUCCUCAUCUGGACUCUCCUCUGCUGCUGCUUCACAGAGUCCAGAGGACAGAUCACAGUGACUCAGCCUGGAUCAGUGAGCUCUGCUGUGGGAGGAUCUGUGAACAUCAAGUGUAGGACCAGUCAGGAUGUUCAUGUUUGGAACAACAAUCAGCUUUUAGCCUGGUACCAACAGAGAGAUGGAGGAGUUCCUAAAUUGCUCAUUUACUUUGCUACCACUCGAAAAUCAGGGAUUCCAGCUCGUUUUACAGGCAGUGGAUCAAACUCUGACUUCACUCUGACCAUCAGUGGAGUCCAGGCUGAAGAUGCAGCAGUUUAUUACUGUCAGAGUGCUCAUCUUAUCAACAGUCAGCGUGUGUUCACACAGUGAAAAACAGUCGUACAAAACCUCCCUCAGUCCGACUGAACAGAAACUGAACUGACUGCUGCAGCUGGAAGAUACUGCAGAGACUGAUACAGUUCACUGAGGACA